rnacentral:rRNA from 1 species
UACGGAGGGUGCAAGCGUUAUCCGGAAUCAUUGGGUUUAAAGGGUCCGCAGGCGGAUUUAUAAGUCAGUGGUGAAAGCCUGAUGCUUAACAUCAGAACUGCCAUUGAUACUGUAAGUCUUGAAUUCGAUCGAAGUGGGCGGAAUAUGACAUGUAGCGGUGAAAUGCUUAGAUAUGUCAUAGAACACCGAUAGCGAAGGCAGCUCACUAGGUCUGGAUUGACGCUCAGGGACGAAAGCGUGGGGAGCAAACAGG